GCAGUCCAAAGACCGCAAUGCUCGCGCCGCACAGAACACUUUGAAUGUUCAUAUUUGCGAGCGGGGAAGGUCUGAACGUUCCAAAUGCCCCUUCGACGCAUCUUUGCCUGGUGUGGUCUUAAAAUUUAAAAGGUCAACGACGUACCAGAAACUAGGGAGGCACCUGUCAGCCAUCGCGCCGGCCGGUGGCUGACGAUGUAACCUUGAAACUGUCGUGGGUGUGAGUAGUGUUCGAGGGACCGCACCGCUAACACUCUAUCUGGGUCUUUCGCGGGUGGUAACGCGCUCCGAGCCGUCUAGGGCUCAGGCUGCGGGAGCAUUGUUGGUGUCUUUUACGGAGUUCACUCCGUAAAUGUGCUAGCGAGUAGCUCAUGACCAAAGAGGAGAACCUGUGCCGGUGUAAGAUGCCUUGAUCUGGCUCUAUCCUUCAGUUUACUUCGCGGUAGUCUGCUGUAGCAGGCCAACUUGAUUCAGACUACUCUUGUGCUGC
rnacentral:RNase_P_RNA from 2 species